AAGCGCUCAUGACCAGACUUGGGCUUGGCGGAUCAUCCGGCGUUCUCGCCGGUGCACUUCGCCUCGCCCAGGCCAGCAUCAGUUCGCGCCGGGGGACAAAAGCUUCGGGAAUGUGGCUCCUCCGGGAGUGUUAUAGCCCGUUGCAUAAUACCCUGGUGCGGACUGAGGUCCGCGCAUCUGCAAGGAUGCUGGCGUAAUGGUCAUCAGC
rnacentral:rRNA from 1 species